rnacentral:rRNA from 1 species
CCUGGCGGCUGUAGCGCGGUGGUCCCACCUGACCCCAUGCCGAACUCAGAAGUGAAACGCCGUAGCGCCGAUGGUAGUGUGGGGUCUCCCCAUGCGAGAGUAGNGAACUGCCAGGC